rnacentral:lncRNA from 10 species
CGCGCACGCAACGGCGCCGGCGUCGCGCCGCCGCGACCGCCCCGCCGGGAGGCCCUGCACGCACGCGCCGCCGGCCGGGCCAGAGUAUGUUCUCCAGUUACCAAGGGAGAUGGAGGGACAGGAACCUGAGAGGAAGCCUGCCUGGAAGAAGGGGGCUGCUGGUCCUCAGUCCCUUGUGAAUGCCCAGCCUCUAGUGGUGGGAUUAAGAAUGCAGCCUCUGCCCUCCAACCUUAGGUCAAGACGCUCAACCAGAGUCUCCCUCCACAGAGUACCAUCAUGGCAUUUCCCAGCACAGAGCACAGGACAGCUGGGACAAUCCUUGUGGGACAAAUGGACGAUGGACAGAAGCAUCUGCUUCCAACAGGAGGGUCUCAACCAUCCCCUUAGAACCUAUGCCCCCUUUGGAUAGUAUUUUAUGACAUCCCCCAUUCCACUACCAUGAAAUGAAAAUCAUAGCAUAAUCUGCCUACACACAUAAUUGCAAAAAAUAAAUGCAUGCAUAGGUUCACCAAAAGACACGUACAAGAAUGUUCACAGCAUCAUUAUUCAUAAUGGCCAGACACUAGAAACAACACAAAUGGAUAUGGUAUGUCCACAUGAUGAAAACGAACAAACUUCUGCCAGGCACGGUGGGCACAGUGGCUCAUGCCUGUAAUCCCAGCAUUCUGAGAGGCCAAGGCGGGCAGAUCACUUGAGGUUAGGAGUUUGAGACCAGCCUGGUCAACAUAGUGAGACCCCGUCUCUACUAAAAAUUCAAAAAUUAGCGGGGCAUGGUGGCGGAUGCCUGUAGUCCCAGCUACUCGGGAGGCUGUGGCAGGAGAAUCGCUUGAACCUGGGAGGCGGAGGUGGCAGGGAGACGAGAUCGCGCCACUGCACUCCAGCCUGGGAGACAGUGAGACUCUGUCUCAAAAAAAAAAAGAAAAUGAACAAACUUCCAAUUCACACAACAACAUGGAUGAAUCUCACAAAUACGAUUUUGGCUGAAAGAAGUCAGACAUGAAAAAAGCAUGCAUGUAUGUUUCCAUUAUAUCAAGUUCAAAGGUAGGCAAAAUUAAUUUAAGGUGUUAGAAGUAAGGAGAGUAGUUACCUAGAGGAGUUGUGACUGGGUGGCACCAUGAGUUGGACUUCCAGGGUAUUGAGAGUGUUCUGGUUAUGAAGGUGUGUUCAUUUUGCAAAAAUUCAUAGAGGUGUACUCAUAAGAUUUGUCCACUUUUUUGAAGUAUGUAGUUAUUCAAUAAAAAGUUUACUUAAAAAAAAACAAUCAAUCAAUACAAUGCCCUAACUGUAAUAUAAAAAAGAAAAGGCCGCUUGCACCUAGAGUCAAUUCAUAGCAAUUACAAAUGCAGACAGAUGUAGGUGUGUGAUUUUAGUGAUGCAAAUGCCUUCAACAAUGUCGCUAUUAUGUUCUGAUAUGUUCAGCUCUUGGUAAAAUGCUGAAAAAUA